rnacentral:rRNA from 1 species
UAAGGAAUAUUGGUCAAUGGACGCAAGUCUGAACCAGCCAUGCCGCGUGAAGGAUGAAGGUCCUCUGGAUUGUAAACUUCUUUUAUCUGGGACGAAAACGGGAUUUUUAUCUCAAUUGACGGUACCAGAGGAAUAAGCACCGGCUAACUCCGUGCCAGCAGCCGCGGUAAUACGGAGGGUGCGAGCGUUAUCCGGAUUUACUGGGUUUAAAGGGUGCGUAGGUGGGCUUAUAAGUCAGUGGUGAAAUCUCCGAGCUUAACUUGGAAACUGCCGUUGAUACUAAAAGUCUUGAAUUAUCUAGAGGUAAGCGAAAUAUGUCAUGUAGCGGUGAAAUGCUUAGAUAUGACAUAGAACACCAAUUGCGAAGGCAGCUUACUACAUAUAAAUUGACGCUGAGGCACGAAAGCGUGGGGAUCAAACA